UUCCCUCUCCCGUGUCCGAAUACCGGUUUAGAAUAACCCGAAGCUCCGACGUUCGCCCCAUUCGCGAGUUCGAUCUCGAGUUGUUCGCGUACGCUUCCUCCUCCCUUGGGAAACCGACGAGCCCCGGAAACCGACGCGAAAAACUUUCGUUCCAUAAUGGAAGUCGCCAAAGCAAACGAAUCCGCCGACAGUCUUGUCGCGCAGUCGUUGAACGUCUCGUCGGAGUCCACGUCCGUGUCUACGAUGAAGUCCGUGCAGAGCGUCCAGUCCAAGUCUGUGAUCGAGUCGUCUUCGUCGAUCAAGUCCGUGUCCUCUUCGUCCACCAGGUCGCAACAGUCGAUGGAGUACGAGGAGACGGUCGAGUACAGCGACUAGAAAAGAACCAUCACCAGAAACCCUUUCUCGACGCCGUGCCACGCGGGGGAGGCUAGACGCCGGUAUUUUUGACUCGACUCCAGCACGGGAUCCGUCAUCUAUUUUCUCCGCUCCCUUCGAACGCGAUGGCGGUAACAAUUCCUCGAUCGGAGCUAUCGUUCUUUCAUCACCGUUCGAAGACAUCAACGAGGAGGAUAUUUUGACCCCGAUUCUUCAUUUCUGUGAUUUCGAGCAACGAGCACAGGAAGCUGAUCCUCGUUCGAAAGGAGUCGGGAAAAACUAGGGACCAGGGGUUUGACGAAGUGUAAUCUGAUCGAUGAUGUGUCAUCCAAAGUGGGGGACGCGAUCCCUAAAAGUUUCUCAAAGUUUACCAAUUCUUGGAGCAGGCAUUUCUUUUCUUUUUAAGGGACACCCGCCAAAAAAAUUUGAAAACCACUGCGAUGGUUGCGCGAUUGUAAGAGCAGUAAAUCGUUGAUCGGAUUAUAUUUUGCCCGUCAAACCAUCGAUCGACGGUUCGAGAGAUGCAUCGGGGAUGCAGUUGGAACUAGAUCGAAGACGCACACGGAAUCGAGUCGAACGAUAUCGACGGGUCAAGGCGUCCAGUGAUCGAGGUGCAUCACAGAAAUAGCCAUCGCGUUCCGUGCUGCGUGAUAAUGAAAAAGAAGAAGAAGAAAACGAGGGAACGUUUCGGAAGCCUCGGCCACGAGCUGGCUCUCCUCCAAUCGGCGUGGUUCACCGCCAAAUACCUUCUCUUCCCAGGAUUUACACCUCGAUCGACUCUUGGAAUCCUCCUUUGAAUACGCAAACCUCUUCAUCACUGUCAAGUCUCGAUCCCAGACUUCGUUGCGAGCGUUCGAUAAUCUUUGUACAAUAAAGUUUCUAAGAUA